CAUCUGUUUUGCUAUAUUCUCGAAAUCAAAGAUAUUGCACAGCUCUUGACUGAAGUCAGUACAAUCACUACAAUAUUUGUGAACCGAGCUUGAAGCCCAACCCGAAGAUCUUUGCAAAGUGGUCUGGCUAACGACUAACCAGUCAGAGUUAAAAAUUGGGAUACCCUAAAACAAAUAAUCAAGAAUGCAAUUCUAAAGUAGGCAUGAUACAUUAUACACAUGAAAAAAUCCAACACUGC